rnacentral:rRNA from 1 species
UACUCCUACGGGAGGCAGCAGUGGGGAAUCUUGGGCAAUGGGCGAAAGCCUGACCCAGCGACGCCGCGUGGGGGAUGACGGCCUUUGGGUUGUAAACCCCUGUCAGGGGGGACGAAAGCCUUCCGGUGAAUAGCCGGGAGGGUUGACGGUACCCUCAAAGGAAGCACCGGCUAACUCCGUGCCAGCAGCCGCGGUAAUACGGAGGGUGCAAGCGUUGUCCGGAGUCACUGGGCGUAAAGGGCGCGUAGGCGGCUGGGUAAGUCAUGCGUGAAAUUCUGGGGCUCAACCCCGGAACGGCGUGUGGGACUGCCCGGCUAGAGCACAGUAGAGGCGAGUGGAAUUCCAGGUGUAGCGGUGGAAUGCGUAGAUAUCUGGAAGAACACCGGUGGCGAAGGCGGCUCGCUGGGCUGUUGCUGACGCUGAGGCGCGAAAGCGUGGGGAGCAAACAGGAUUAGAUACCCUGGUAGUCCACGCUGUAAACGAUGGGCACUAGGCGUCGGGGGGAGCGACCCCCUCGGUGCCGUCGCUAACGCAAUAAGUGCCCCGCCUGGGGAGUACGGUCGCAAGAUUAAAACUCAAAUGAAUUGACGG